rnacentral:tRNA from 1 species
GGGAAUGUGGCUUAGUGGUAGAGUGCUUGCUUUGCACUCAUGAAGCCCUGGGUUCGAUUCCUCAGUACCA